rnacentral:rRNA from 1 species
GACGAACGCUGGCGGCGUGCUUAACACAUGCAAGUCGAACGGAAAGGCCCUGCUUUUGUGGGGUGCUCGAGUGGCGAACGGGUGAGUAACACGUGAGUAACCUGCCCUUGACUUUGGGAUAACUUCAGGAAACUGGGGCUAAUACCGGAUAGGAGCUCCUGCUGCAUGGUGGGGGUUGGAAAGUUUCGGCGGUUGGGGAUGGACUCGCGGCUUAUCAGCUUGUUGGUGGGGUAGUGGCUUACCAAGGCUUUGACGGGUAGCCGGCCUGAGAGGGUGACCGGCGACAUUGGGACUGAGAUACGGCGCAGACUCCUACGGGGGGCAGCAGUGGGGAAUAUUGCACAAUGGGCGGAAGCCUGAUGCAGCAACGCCGCGUGCGGGAUGACGGCCUUCGGGUUGUAAACCGCUUUCGCCUGUGACGAAGCGUGAGUGACGGUAAUGGGUAAAGAAGCACCGGCUAACUACGUG